GACGUAGGGUGCGAGCGUUGUCCGGAUUUAUUGGGCGUAAAGAGGUCGUAGGCGGCCUGUCGCGUCAGCUGUGAAAACCCGCGGCUUAACCGUGGGCUUGCAGCUGAUACGGGCAGGCUAGAGUUCGGUAGGGGAGACUGGAAUUCCUGGUGUAGCGGUGAAAUGCGCAGAUAUCAGGAGGAACACCGGUGGCGAAGGCGGGUCUCUGGGCCGGUACUGACGCUGAGGAACGAAAGCCAGGGGAGCAAACGGG
rnacentral:rRNA from 1 species